UUAAGAGAAUAGGUGCCUUUCCUGUGCUAUCCUAUUAUACCCCAGAAGCUUUCUGUUCUCAGGAUGGGCCCAGACUCUCUCCUCUGCCAUGUGGAUGGGUAAGAGACAGAGGAAAAGAAACUGACGGCAUCUUUGCCACUGAUCAACGUCUCAGAUGAUAUGAAAAACAGGCCAGCAGCCUGCUUCUUACAAAGAUGAUGUGCCCGCAGCUUUCUUCAUUCUUCUCUGACGUUCUUGACACUCUAUGACAUUUAAAAGUGCUCAGAGACAGAAGCCUGCCUGGAAUGAAGCCCCGUCCUCACCAAGACAGAGAAUGAAUUCAGAACAUUCACAGCCGUCUGCCUGCUUCUGCACAGGAAGCAAAGAUAUUGCUAGGAGGUUGUGCAUCUGGGAAAGUGAGAGUGGGUGCUUAGCAGGUGCUCUCCGGUUGCUUCUCUUCAACAGUAUGUAGCUAAUGUAUUGAAAUCAUGUUUAAGAUGAUAACGUGGUGGUAACUGAAGUGUGAAAAAAAAGAUCAACUUAUUCAACACAGGAUUGAAGCAUCAGCAGUCAGACCUUGAGUUAUGUAGGAAAGGGAGUCAGAAAGCAAUGCAUUUGUAAAAUGUUAGCUUUCCCACCCACCAGUGGGGAAGCUUGCAAUCCUCUACCCCAACUAAGCUCCCUGUCUAAGCUUUCUGGCUUAAUAUUAGAAUAUAAGUCUUCUUAUGGAGAUGUCCUGAUCAGAUUAUAAACUUGAGUUCACUGAGUCUCUGGCAUGACACAGAUCUGAGAGUUUACAAACCUUCAAUUGUCAGAAGGAAGCCCACCAAAGCAAGUGUGUGUGUGCUGGCAAUGAUGGUCUGCGGAACUCCCAUUGAGAGGUGCUGACUAAAGGCUCAUUCCAAGACAGUAGCCACUCCAGUGGCCGAAUUCCAUCCCAGCAUCAGUGAGGAGCAGCCAUGCCUCGUCCAAAACCCCUCUGCACUACCACUCAGAAAAGCGAUAGACGUCACAGGGUUCUGGGCGAGAUACACACAAACUGGAAAGGCUGGGUACCCAUCAUGGGGCAUCCAGUAAGGGGUGUGACCAUCAAUCAAAUAGGAAUCAUGUCUAAGAAGGCAUCUUAAAGACAUGUUGAUGCUAUCUAUUAUAUCGAAAAAGAGAAGAGAGAGUUUUUGAAAGAAGGUCCUCCCUUUCUUUGCUAUUGCUGUUCUGUCCUUUUUAGGACUG